rnacentral:rRNA from 1 species
GACGAACGCUGGCGGCGUGCUUAACACAUGCAAGUCGAACGGAAAGGCCCUGCUUUUGUGGGGUGCUCGAGUGGCGAACGGGUGAGUAACACGUGAGUAACCUGCCCUUGACUUUGGGAUAACUUCAGGAAACUGGGGCUAAUACCGGAUAGGAGCUCCUGCUGCAUGGUGGGGGUUGGAAAGUUUCGGCGGUUGGGGAGGGACUCGCGGCUUAUCAGCUUGUUGGUGGGGUAGUGGCUUACCAAGGCUUUGGAGGGUAGCCGGCCGGAGAGGGUGACCGGCCACAUUGGGACUGAGAUACGGCCCAGACUCCUACGGGAGGCAGCAGUGGGGAAUAUUGCACAAUGGGCGGAAGCCUGAUGCAGCAACGCCGCGUGCGGGAUGACGGCCUUCGGGUUGUAAACCGCUUUCGCCUGUGACGAAGCGUGAGUGACGGUAAUGGGUAAAGAAGCACCGGCUAACUACGUG